ACAGUAGAUGCUCCAAUAAUUAUUAUUUGUUUCUUCUUGCAAUUGUAACUUGUGGAUUAUAUUUCAUAUUUUAAUCUCAUUGCUUGUAAUCGUAUUUCGCAUCUUGAUAAAAAAAAUAAGCAUUUUGGAAGAUUACCUGGGCUAACGCAGACGAGGAACAAGAUGCUGGUACUCCCUAAAAGAAGCACGAGCCUCUUUUCUUCCGCGAACGUUCUCGAAUCUUCGUCGUUGCUCGUCGUCCUGGACAGCGUCAUCCGUCGACGACGUUCGCAGGAUCGUCGAUAAACCACCAUUAUUCGAAGAUUGAAACCGGCCAAAAGUAUCGUCGGUGCUACUUUGAAAACGAUUUCCAAUACCACUUUGUACACCUACGUAAAAAAAGAAUCGAUGAGAAAGUCGAAAAUUUUUUUUAAAUUCUGAAAGAAAUUAAGAGGAUCUCGUGAUGAGAUUCGUUUAUAUCGAAAAAUGAAUCUUUCUCCAAGAUCCUCUCAAAAUUCGAAAUAACAAAAAGUUUUGAUUACUUGAUAAAACAACGAGUCGAGAUAGGAGUGAUUCUCCCUCUUCUGAUAAAUAACAGGCCCGCCAAGCGCCAGGAGGCAAGUCGCCACUUCUUCCCGGAACACAUUUGGCAGAUAAACUAGGAACGUGGCGAGGGGAAUAAGGGCCACGGUUAAAUGGGGAGGGCCGCACAGUGGACGAGUGUGCUGACCAGGCCGACAAACGCUAACGUAACGUUCCACUGUCAAAGCUAGCAGCAUCAUAACUCCAACUCCUGGAAAAAGUAUCCUUUCUGUAUAUAUAAUCCUUCCAUUAGAAGUUCACUGAUAUUUAAUAAUUUUGCUCUCUUUUUUUAAUGCAGUAGAAACUCUGUGUAUUUUUAAUCUUACAUUCAAUAUUACUCGUGAUUUAGGUGUAAUAUAUAAUAAUCAAAAUAAUUAAGUUACAAGUGCAACUUUGUUUAAUAAAUAAAAUAUCAUUAAAUCAGAACAAAUUAUCUACUAUUCUACUAUAAGGAUGAAAAAGUAUUAAGUACUUUUCUUUGUAAAGUCAAAUUUGAUUCAUUAGAAAGAGAUAUAUCUUUUUGAGCUUGGUUGAUUUUUAUAUUUAUCUUUUUAUCAUCAAGAAACAUUGACGAUCAUAGAAUAUGCUAUUCACAAGCAUGUAUGUAAAUAUGUACGUAGUAAGAUAACUGCAAAACUUUUUGAAUCCUUGGCGUAUAUUGUCUACGAUUGGAAAUGGAAAGGAGAAAAUAAAAUUGAAAAAAUGUAAUCAA